UACGUAGGUGGCAAGCGUUGUCCGGAUUUACUGGGCGUAAAGGGCGUGCAGGCGGUCUGUUAAGUGCAGGGUGAAAGCUCCCGGCUCAACUGGGAGAGGUCCUUGCAUACUGGCGGACUUGAGGGGGGUAGAGGAAAGUGGAAUUCCCGGUGUAGUGGUGAUAUGCGUAGAUAUCGGGAGGAACACCUGUGGCGAAGGCGGCUUUCUGGGCCCUACCUGACGCUGCGACGCGAAAGCGUGGGGAGUGAACCGG
rnacentral:rRNA from 1 species